AACGAACGCUGGCGGCAGGCUUAACACAUGCAAGUCGAACGCAUCCUUCGGGGUGAGUGGCAGACGGGUGAGUAACGCGUGGGAACGUGCCCUUCAGUUCGGGAUAACCCAGGGAAACUUGGGCUAAUACCGGAUACGUGCGAGAGCAGAAAGAUUUAUCGCUGAAGGAUCGGCCCGCGUCUGAUUAGCUAGUUGGUGGGGUAAUGGCCCACCAAGGCGACGAUCAGUAGCUGGUCUGAGAGGAUGAUCAGCCACAGUGGGACUGAGACACGGCCCGAACUCCUACGGGAGGCAGCAGUGGGGAAUAUUGGACAAUGGGCGCAAGCCUGAUCCAGCCAUGCCGCGUGAGUGAUGAAGGCCUUAGGGCUGUAAAGCUCUUUCGUCCGGGACGAUAAUGACGGUACCGGAAGAAGAAGCCCCGGCUAACUUCGUGCCAGCCGCCGCAGUAA
rnacentral:rRNA from 1 species